rnacentral:rRNA from 1 species
AUGGGGUUCGUGUACCGAAUCGCGAGCCCGUCGGAGUACCUGGCCAUCACCGGGUACGGCGUGGACGACGUGAAGCUGGCGAAGAAGGCGUGGAUCGCGCCGGGGCAGCGGUGCGCGCGCUUCGACAUCUCCCCGGUGAACUACACCUUCGAGGUGCAGGCGAUGAGCGCCGAGAAGCUCCCCUUCGUGCUCCCCGCCGUCUUCACCAUCGGCCCGCGCGCGGACGACGUCGAGUCCCUGCUCCGCUACGCCAAGCUCAUCUCCCCGCACGACAAGCUCUCCCGCCACGUCAACGAGCUGGUCAAGGGCGUGAUCGAGGGCGAGACGCGCGUGCUGGCGGCGUCCAUGACCAUGGAGCAGAUCUUCCACGGCACCAAGUCGUUCAAGCAGGCCGUGUUCGAGAGCGUGCAGCUGGAGCUCAACCAGUUCGGCCUCGUCAUCUACAACGCCAACGUGAAGCAGCUGGUGGACGUGCCGGGGCACGAGUACUUCUCCUACCUCGGCCAGAAGACGCAGCAGGAGGCCGUCAACCAGGCCAAGGUGGACGUGGCCGAGGCGCGCAUGAAGGGCGAGGUCGGCGCCAAGGAGCGGGAGGGGAUGACGCGCCAGAACGCCGCCAAGGUGGACGCCGAGACCAAGGUGUACACGGUGAAGCGCCAGGGGGAGGGCUCCAAGGAGGAGGCCAGGGUGACGGCGGAGGUGAGGGUGUUCAGGAACGAGAGGGACGCCGAGGUGGCGCAGGCCGACGCGGAGCUGGCCAUGAAGAAGGCCGGGUGGGAGCAGCAGGCGAGGGUGGCGGAGGUGGAGGCGGCCAAGGCCGUGGCCAUACGGGACGCGCAGCUGCAGGUGGAGGUGGAGCGCACCAACGCCGCCAGGCAGACGGAGAAGCUCAAGGCCGAGCACCUCAGCAAGGCCGUCGUGGACUACGAGAUGAAGGUGCAGCAGGCCAACUGGGAGCUCUACAACCGGCAGAAGGCGGCCGAGGCGCUGCUGUUCGAGCAGGAGAGGCAGGCGGAGGCGCGCCGCGCGACUGCGGACGCGGAGUUCUUCGCGCGGCAGCGGGAGGCCGAGGCCGAGCUCUACGCCAAGCGCAAGGAGGCCGAGGGGCUGGCGGCCAUGGGAGAGGCCCAGAGCGUGUACCUGUCCUCCAUGCUCGGCGCGCUCGGCGGCAGCUACGGCGCGCUCCGUGACUACCUCAUGAUCAGCUCAGGCGUGUAUCAGGAGAUGGCGCGCAUCAACGCCGACGCCAUCAAGGGGCUCGAGCCCAAGAUCAGCGUGUGGAGCAACGGCUCUGCUUCCGAGGGUGGUGACGGCGCCAUGAAGGAGAUGGCCGGGGUGUACAGGAUGUUGCCGCCGUUGCUAACGACGGUGCACGAGCAGACUGGGAUGCUACCGCCGGCGUGGAUGGGCACUCUCAAGGGGGGCACCUCCACGUCCACCUGA